GUCAUUUUCCAGUUUCUUUGCUCUUUCUUUAGCCGUGGGUUUGCUAGGGUUUUCUUUACCUCUUCUCAAGCUCUUGGUGGCUGUUCGAAUUUGCCUACUUCGCCUGAAAGGGAUAUCCAGGUUUCUUAUAACAUCAAGGAUGGCCAAAAGAUUCUCAGGCAACCGAUGUUAUGAUUUUCCGUAUUUAUGCUUGAGGUUUCUUAUACACAUUUUGCAAUGGUGACAUCAUGGUUGGCUUGAAAAUUCUCAGGCAACCGAUGUUAUGAUCUUACCUAUUUAUGCUUGAGUAUAUGGCAUUCUGGAUGACCUGAAGUUUCUGGAGCAACCACCGCUGACAUUAUGAUGGAAUUCGUGCAUAGUAAAGCCUCUACAUUUUUCCUAUGUCAUGGAUUCAUUGUCAUCAUUUGAGCCUUCUUCUUUCUUCUUCUUCUUCUUCUUCUUCUUCUUCUUUCUUUUUGCAUAAUCCUUUUGGUUGAGUUUGUUUUGGAGGAAUUUGGACAAACGACACUGUUUUCCUAUUUGACACUUACUCGGCCUUUUCUCCAAUCUAAUUUUAGCUCGUGUUGUUGGAACUGUGUCUCUGGCUCUGUUAUGGAAGAAAAAAAUCAUUAAAGAGAAAUAUACAUAUGAUUUACAGUUAGAAAUACUAUAUGUAGCUUCAUCUUCUCCAUGAAAUACAUUUGGGAAGGCUUUAUCAUUUGACAUUUAUGAUGAUUUGUGCCAUACUCAUAACGGGUAAUAGUGCUUUGAUUAUUUGUUUUAGGAGUUCAAAAAAAUUACGGGGAAGAUUAUGAUGAUAAUGGUUUAGAGUUUGGCUUCGUUGUGCAGUGCUUUUAUUGAGUAUCUCUAUGUUUUCUAUGGCUAUACAUGAAUAACAAAAUUUUUUGACAGCUCUAAAUAACAAGGGACUUGAAGAUCCACUUGAAGGCAACUCCUUUACUAUGGGAAUGCCUUACAUCGAGAAUUACCUUGAUCAGGCAUUAACCUUGAUCAGGCAUUAAUAUGUGCUCAAACACAAGAUUGUUUGAUCAAGUAUUUUUCUAAUUCAAUUGGAUUACAUGAAGGAUCAGCAUUAAGCCCUCUUUUUUUUUUUGCAUUAGUCAUGGAUCUUACUUGUUACUUGUAAUUUCCUCAAUAAUGUUAUCAUCGAGAUAUGUGUUGGUUGGUAGAACA